ACGUUGCUAUAGCAACCCCACUAUAGAUGACAAGAGAACAAUGUCACGUUGCUAUAGCAACCCCACUAUAGAUGACAGAAGAGAACAAUGUCACGUUGCUAUGGCAACCACACUAUAGAUGACAGAAGAGAACAAUGUCCCGUUGCUGUAGCAACCACACUAUAGAUGACAGAAGAGAACAAUGUCCCGUUGCUGUAGCAACCACACUAUAGAUGACAGAAGAGAACAAUGUCACGUUGCUAUGGCAACAACACUAUAGAUGACAGAAGAGAACAAUGUCACGUUGCUAUAGCAACCCCACUAUAGAUGACAGAAGAGAACAAUGUCACAUUGCUAUGGCAACCACACUAUAGAUGACAGAAGAGAACAAUGUCACGUUGCUAUAGCAACCCCACUAUAGAUGACAGAAGAGAACAAUGUCAUGUUGCUAUAGCAACCCAACUAUAGAUGACAGAAGAGAACAAUGUCAUGUUGCUAUAGCAACCCCACUAUAGAUGACAGAAGAGAACAAUGUCACGUUGCUAUGGCAACCACACUAUAGAUGACAGAAGAGAACAAUGUCACGUUGCUAUAGCAACCACACUAUAGAUGACAGAAGAGAACAAUGUCCCGUUGCUGUAGCAACCACACUAUAGAUGACAGAAGAGAACAAUGUCACGUUGCUAUGGCAACCACACUAUAGAUGACAGAAGAGAACAAUGUCACGUUGCUAUAGCAACCCCACUAUAGAUGACAGAAGAGAACAAUGUCACGUUGCUAUGGCAACCACACUAUAGAUGACAGAAGAGAACAAUGUCACGUUGCUAUAGCAACCCCACUAUAGAUGACAGAAGAGAACAAUGUCACGUUGCUAUGGCAACCACACUAUAGAUGACAGAAGAGAACAAUGUCCCGUUGCUGUAGCAACCACACUAUAGAUGACAGAAAAGAACAAUGUCCCAUUGCUAUGGCAACCACACUAUAGAUGACAGAAGAGAACAAUGUCACGUUGCUAUAGCAACCCCACUAUAGAUGACAGAAGAGAAGAAAGUGCCUUGUUCUGAUGUCACACAUGAAAAGUGAGAAAACAAGCACACUCACCAGCUGUCAUUGUUCUUGGCGCUCCUCCCCCAGGUGGUCACAUGACCAUGCUGUGCAAAGAACCCUGCUGGAAAUGGUCUGUUACAGGGUCAAAGGGCAAAUCAGUUGGUCAUACGUGCGUAGAAAGAAGACACGGAAAACAAGCCCGCCUUCUUACAUACGUCACAUACUCUAGCGAGUCUAGCGUCAUAGCUCUCGCCGAUCAGAGAGAGAGAUGGUGCGAACUUAUCACAAAUGGAGGAAGAACAAUAAAUGUCCAACAUAAAGAGCAGGGGGUCCAUCAUCUGGUGGUAGUUUGGCUCCAAGUGGGAAGACAACAGCAAUAUGCUGUUCAAUAUAUGUACUCUGAUGAUGAACCUGUGUGAUGACUGUAUUAUGUUGAUAGUAUAUAUUUCUACCAUCAAUAAUGUACAUAAUUCAAUGUAUAUACUCUGAUGAUGAACCUGUGUGAUGACUGUAUUAUGUUUAUAGUAUAUAUUUGUACCAUCAAUAAUGUACAUAAUUCAAUGUAUAUACUCUGAUGAUGAACCUGUGUGAUGACUGUAUUAUGUUGAUAGUAUAUAUUUGUACCAUCAAUAAUGUACAUAAUUCAAUGUAUAUACUCUGAUGAUGAACCUGUGUGAUGACUGUAUUAUGUUGAUAGUAUAUAUUUCUACCAUCAAUAAUGUACAUAAUUCAAUGUAUAUACUCUGAUGAUGAACCUGUGUGAUGACUGUAUUAUGUUGAUAGUAUAUAUUUGUACCAUCAAUAAUGUACAUAAUUCAAUGUAUAUACUCUGAUGAUGAACCUGUGUGAUGACUGUAUUAUGUUGAUAGUAUAUAUUUCUACCAUCAAUUGAUGAAGGUGGACCCCGACUUAAACAAGUUGAAAAACUUAUUGGGGUGUUACCAUUUAGUGGUCAAUUGUACGGAAUAUGUACUGUACUGUGCAAUCUACUAAUAAAAGUAUCAUCUUUUUUGUAAGGGGCGCUGGAAGCCGGCAGACCCGUCAGCGAUCCUG